GCGCCGGGGCAGCUUCCAGCAGCUCCUGGAGGGAGUCAGCCCUGGGGCUCUUCCAGCGGCUGGAAACGUCCACAGACACCUGUCACAUCCUCCCAGGAAAUAUCCUCCGGCUUUAAUCCACCCCAGGACUGAGGUGGUCUGCGAACCAGCUCUCCCCAGCCCCGCUCUUUGCUGGGUGUCUCCUCAGGGGAGACAUUUUGUGACCCUGCGGCCGGGAUGGGCUCCCUCCAGUCGAAAGGCUGAUUCCUCUUGUCCCUGGGAAGUUAACAAGGUAAACCGAACAAAACACCCACUCGGCUCAAAUGAGUUGCCAGCAGAAGCAGCAGUGGCCACCAACACCAGCGGUUUCAUCGCUGUCAAGGUUCCCUGCAGCCUAGAAGCGAUCCCCAGACCCAGAUGAAGAAGGUUUGGCUCUACCCAGAGUGGGAUCUGCCUGCUGUUUCUCAUACGUAUUCCUUGGUGUUAAAGUGCUGAAUCGCAGGGGCUGCCAAGGCUGAAGGGUUAUGAACCACUGAGAAAUGAAGCGCUCCGUAUUCUGCACAGCUGACUUCAGCCAGUGAUGGUCCACGGAAGAUAACUGCUCCUCUCUUGGCUCUUGCUCUGCUUAGAGACCAGAAAGACACAUUUUCAGGCCACAAGUUCUUUACCAGAAAAGGUGGGGACUGAGACUUCUGGUUGCCUGUGGCUUUUCUGCACUUUUUAAUGCCCCGUGAAGGAUUAGUCUGCCUCAUCUCCAACCAAGAGAAGGAAAAAAGAAAAAAAAACAACAUAUAGUGCUGGUCAUGAACUCAUGGCAUGAGCUUUUUGGCAAUGAAACAAGGUUAAAUCUCAUUCCUUCUGAGGAUUUCUCCAUGAGGUGUCUUCCGUGUAACUGAGAACAGUGGAAAGUCCUCCACAAAGGCAAGGUUUCUUGCAAUAUUGCUGCCUGGUUCUCAGGCUGGGUGAAGCCAACUGUCCCACUUCCAGAAGCACCUCUUCCAUGCUGAGCAGCUCCUUCCAUGCUUUUGACACAUCUGCUGAGCUGAGAGGGGCUCUAUGUGAUUUCCCACCAGCACCAGCGUGGGGUGUGUUCCUGGGAAUCUUGCAUCACUUUGGCACCGAGGAUAACUUUUCCCACAUCACUCAUUGCAUGUUGUUCUGCACCCAGGACAUUUCCUAGGUGCUAGGAGGGACUCACUCUAGUGCCACCUGCUUGUGACAAAUAACCCCACCUCAUAUUUACAGCCACAACCUCCCCUUGCCACUGCUGGAAUAUCAUCUCAGUUUUGCCCUUUCCAUCCUUUUGGAGGCAGCUUCUCCCGUGGGAGGUCUCAGCGAGCUCCUGAGGAGACUUUUGGAUUCCUGGGGGAACAGAUCUCACUGCUUCCAGCCCCACGGUCUGAGAGUCCAGAAGUGCAAGGAGAAAAUUAAAAGAGAAGACAAGACUUCACCCAGUUCUGAUGCAAAGUCAAACCAAGCCACUCAGGCUUUGUAGCUUCUACCAGCAACUGUGACCUUGGCACAAGCACUGAGAGCCAGGAGGCAGAGACAGCUCAGUGCUGGGAGAGCAGCAGGAGCCUCUGGAGAAUCCAGCUGAAGGAGCCAAGGAUUUGUCUGCACCAUCAUUGCAAGGACAGAAAGCAGAGGGUGUGAAUCAGGAGUGACUCCCCUGGGAGGACACCAUCCCUAUCUGCCUAUCUGCUGUGAAGCAGGGAGCUGUGGGGCUGCAAGUGUGGCCUGGCCCCACAGGCACACAUGAGGUGGGAAGGUGGACAGAGAAGGUGCUCCAGGCCCUUCAGUCCCCCAACCCUGGCCCUGCAGGCUCUUUGCUGGUGCUGGGCUCCUUUUCUUCCAGGGGAAAUGGUUCUGCAGUGCAAAGAGUGCUUGGGUAAGAUCCACAGGAGUCAACUCCCAGUGAGAGAGGAGGGGUCUCCUUCCCCAGGCCCCCCUGCAGGGACCAGCAUGUCAGCCACACAAGAUGCUCCUCACAUGAAGUGCAGAAACUGCCACCAGCUGUGGAGCUGGUGAAAACUAGCCCAGCCAUCAACAAAUCUUUCUCUGGAGGUGGCUGACUCAGAUGCUGCUCUGCCUCCCAGGAGUCCCCUGUCAUGUAGACCCUGUCACUUCCAUGUCUCAGAAUUAGCCAGAAGGCUUUUCUGCCAUCUGAGUUUGACCUUCUAAGGAUGUUCAGCAUCAUUCAGCAUCUGGCCCGUGAGGGAUGUGACAUGUUUCACAGAUGUGCAGGACAGCAGGCACAGGCUUUGCAGAGCAAUACAGACCCCAUGGCUCCUUCUUGCUCACCAUCUCUCUCCAGGGACUGAAGGCACAUGGUCUGCCUGGCUUCUCCAGGUCCCAGCAGGGACUCUGGGCCAACUCAGAGGUACCCAGGUGACCAUGAGUCUUUUCCUGAAGGAAAAAACAUUGUCUCACCUUCUUACCCCUCAAAGAUGUUCUCUAAUCCUCAUGCUAAUCCUUCCUGAGCCUCCAAUCUGGUCCUCCUGCCUUCCAGAACAGAAGCACUUGCAGUCAGUCCUGCUUUUAGCUACUGGGUUGCCAGCACACUGAUGGGAAAUAUCUUCCUGCUGCUGCCACCCCCUGCUCUGCACCCAGAGCCCUGGCAGAACUCUGUGGGGUAACUGACAUUCAGCUACAAAGCCCAGUGAACCUCCUAAAUGCCCAUGCAGGAGGAUCUGCCUCUCAGGUGCUGUAUCAGUGGUGCUGAGUGCUGCUUCCUUUGGUCCCUUGGCACAUUUAUCUGUCUCCAUCCACAGGAGAAAUCUCUCUGCACUUCAGGGGCUCACCAGCCUGGGCUGCAGUUUGGCUUGGUACCAAUACCUGGAGCUACCCUGCUGGGCUUCCCAAGGGGCAAGAAAGAGGCUUGUCUGUCUUUACAGAUAAUUAAAUCCAGAUUAAAACAAGAUUUUACUGGAAUCCAGCCUGGGGGAAAUUGCAAAGGGUUUCCUGGAGGUGAAGCUCUACAACCAGAGCCCAGGCAGUGCAGUGGCCUUUCUCUGUCUCCUGAAAUUGAGAGAGAGGUGAAAAAUCCACAGAAGCUGGUUUGGGAACCUGCCCACAGCCAAAGGUAAGCUUGGAUUGUCCAGGACAAUACUGCCCACCACAUGCAGCUCUCUCUUCCACCUGUGGGAAUGGAGGGAGCCAUAAGAGAGUCCUGUCUCAUGUAAAUCCAAAUUUCCUCUCUUAUUCUCCCUAAAAUGUCCCAUGCUUGGCUCUGUGGGGCUCCCAGCAGCAAAGCAGCAAACCCUUCCCUCCUGCACAGCUUUGGAGAUGAACCAUCCCCUGGCCCCUCAUCCAGGAGCACAGGGAGUGGAGCCCUGCAUGGUCCCUGCUCCUGCUGCUCCCACCAGAGAGGGGUGCUCGGCUGCCCCCCUUGGCUCACUGAGCCUCAGACGCUUCAAGGAGGGGACAGUGGAUUGAGGUGGCCUUCAACUGGAAGGACUGGUUUGCAGAGGCUCAACUGGCAGGCACGGUUGUGGAGGCAGGGACAGAGAGUGGAGCUGGGAGCAACUGUUGUGGAAAGGGUGGGAUGUGUCGGAGAGCACCGGAGGUGAGCGCAGCCACAGAGGGCCGUGCUCAGGGAAGGGAUGCGAGUGCAGGUUGCAGGAUGUGGAGGCUGUGAGUGGCAGAAUCUCCACAGCCUCAUUAAACUCUCGUGUCCAAAUUAAAUGUCAGAUUUGCAUAUUGGUUCUCUGUUUCCAGGCCCGUGAUGCAGCAGCCGGGAGGAAGGGCACAGGCGGGAGGGCUGUGGGAAUCCAGCAGGGAACACAAGCCCUGGUGUCUGCUCGGUUGCAAGGACAGACCAUGGAAAAGGCUCAGUGGGCUGGAGGAGGAGGAGACAGUGAGAGGAGAGUGUGCAGGGCAGUGGGGGGUGAACAUCCCAGGGAGAAGCAGCCUGGACUCUGCACUGGUGCCUUUCAAAACUAUUUACUAAGGAGGGCCCCAGUUUGCCCAGCAGUGCCUCCUGGAGUCAUGGAAUGGGUUGGCUUGGAAGGGACCUGAAAGAUCAUCUAGAUCCAACCCCCUGCAUGGGCAGGGACACCUCCCACCAGCCCAGGCUGCUCCAAGCCCCAUCCAACCUGCCCUUCAACACUGCCAGGGAUGGGGCAGCCACAGCUUCCCUGGGCAACCUGGGCCAGGCUCUCCCCACCCUCACACUCCAGAAUUCCCUCCUCAUGUCUCACCUCAGUCUCCCUCUUGCAGUUUUCAUCCAUUCCCCCUUGUCCUCUCCCUCCCUGCCCUUGUCCCAAGUCCCUCCCCAGCUUUCCUGGAGCCCCUUCAGAUGUGAAGACUGUGACUCUGCAGUGGCCACAUCUGUUCUUUCCAGAAGCACCUCAGUUUGGAGCAGACACACAUUUUGCCACCCCAAUUUUGGCACCUCUUAAGAUGGUGCUUUGGUGUGGUGCCCCUAAAGCCUUGGCCCUGCUGCUGUCUGAGCCAGAGGGCUGGGGGGACACACUUCAGGAGGUCCUGUGCUAUCUUGCUUUAGAAGAGAUGGACAAUGUACCAGGAAUGGGCUCUGCUGAGAACGGGCCUGAAGAAGGACGAGCACAAAUAACGAUUUGUGACUCCUCCCAUGUCACAAGGGCAGCAAAGGGCUUCCCUGCCAGAACAAGCAUUUCAGUCAGGGAGAAUGUCUCCCAUCCACCAGCCCCAAUGCCAAACACACCUUGCUUUUGGGAACAGGAUCAACUCUUCACUUUCACAGUGUGAGAAACGUUUGUCGCGCCAAUGAGCAGGCCCACACGGAUCCUUCAGCGAAGCACAGUUUAUUUACAUCCUUGCAAGAAUGGGUGACCUAAGCAAGUAGGCACACCUAUAGCAAGGUGAAUAGCGGUUUAUAUUCCCUAUUCCCGACGCAAAAUUCCCUCCCCUGUUUCCCCACUGGCUGAGUACUCCAGGGUUUACAGCCUAUCCGACGCUUCAAAUUAUCCUAUAAGUUUCCCGCCCCUGUUUACACAUUCCAUUCUAGCAGUUUACUUUUUACCUUUUAAGGUAAAAUUUUGACCUUUCUUGCCCCCUUGGCUGUCUUCCCAAUUAACAAUCUACUGGUGUCAUCCUGCCCUGAAGAGCAGCAUAGAAGUAGCUUUGUUCGGCCUUAUCUUGGGCCAUAAAUCCUUCUCCAUGUUCAGAUCCCCCAGAUGGAGCCCAAUUAAGUCCCUCAGUU